CCAGCUGAUCUCCAGGCAGGCUGCCAGCCGCAGUCUGCAAGACACGGGAUCACCAGCCAGACGGUGACCCAGGGGCCACCGUUACUCAUCAUUUGGCCCCAGGUACAUGGUGUCCCCUACCUGUUAUUUGGAGCUGCCCCAUCUUCUUGAAGCCCCACCCAACCUCAGGGAUCAGACAUCCAAGGUCACACACAUCAGUCAGUGUCAGAGAAAGGCUCAGGCCAGGUGCCAGAGCAUGAAGGUUGUGUGACCUAUUAUUUUUAUUUUUCUAUUUUUGUUCUUUUUUUUUUUUUUUCGGAGCUGGGGACCAAACCCAGGGCCUUGCGCUUCCUAGGCAAGCGCUCUACCACUGAGCUAAAUCCCCAACCCCUAUUAUUUUUAUUUUAAAACAGACAAGCUGGCCUGGAACUCAUGGUCUUCCUGCCUCAGCUCCUGGGUGCCUGGAUGACACUCCUGCACCACCAAGGCCUGUGGGGCACUUUCUUGAUUAGUAAUGAUUGCUGCUGGGCUAAGCCCACUGUGAGUGGUGUCAACCCCUAGGCUGGAGAUCCUGGGCUGCAAUGAGAUUAGGAGAGAGCAAGCCCAGCCUACCUCCAUCCUUGGCUUGAGUUCCUGCCCUGCCCGGGACUGGGAACAAAAAUAUACAGUUUCUUGUCAAAACAGGUGAGGGCCCUCCUGCUGCCUCACUGUGCGGGCUGAGGAUACUGGAAACAUUGAUUAUCACAAUAUGUGAUAAAAUACCAUGGUAUUUUCUUACUUCUUGCUUAGAUCUGAGCAGUCCUUGCUCCUGGCGGCAUAGAGCUCUAGGCUCCCACCCUUGCUUUCUCUGAGGAUUGUCCCCUCUCCCAACACACCUCCCUUCCCGCCCUCCCCUGUCCAGCUCAGGAACCACAUUCACUGUGCGCCCACGCCACGCAGACACUGACCACACUGAGCCUCGUCAGACCCAUCAGAGCAGUCCACUCUGUCGUCACACUCCGGGUUUUCUUUGCUCACGCAUUGACUGUUCUGACAGGAGAAGGCAUUCCCGGGGCAGUGGCCUGGGAGCAGAGAACCAAGCUGGGGGCCCGGAACCUCUUCCUUGCAGAGGCAGCGACCUGCAUGGGUCCUUUAGGUACCUCAACAGUGUAAAAACCUCUGUGAGCUUUUUGCUUAUCUCUGCGGACAGAGACACAACAUGGACGUGAGUGAGGUGUGUGUGUGGGGUGUCUCUCUGUGUAGUCUGAAACUCAUUUUGCAGACCCAGCUGGCCUUGACCUCACAGAGAUCCACCUUUGCCUGCCUCCCAACUGCAGGGAUUAAAGAUUUUGUUUUUACAAUAGAAUUCCAUCACCUUCUGUGAAGGCUGGUCUUAAUGGUCUCCUCAGUGGGAUCUAGAGACAGUAUGGAGACAAGCCUCUACCUGUCUGAGGGAGUUAGAGCCCCAGCAGUCACCCCUCUCUGCUUCCCAACUGAGGACUCCGACUCCCCUCCUGCUGCCACACCCGCCCAGACGUCAGAACUGACCAAGGGCCACAGGAACUGCACAUGUGCCUCCCAGAGAGACGUCGAAGGCACCUUCCAGGGAGCUGAGCUGAGGGCCAGUCCUACCUGACUUUAAGUCCCUCUCGGUCACCGGACCUUCACACCUUCCUGAAGCAGAACAGACAAAGCCAAGUGAGAGUCGAGCGAUGGUUCAUGCCUGUCGCUGAGGCAGGAGGAUUGUAAACCUGAGGUCAGCCUGGGCAGUAUGAGGAGGUCCUCUCUUGCUCCCUUCCCCUAAAAGAUCAGCUGCAUUGAGUGCUGGCUCUCCGGAACAUCUGCUGCAGGCGGUGGCACAGCCACCAACACUUUAACCCUGUCUUCAACUCAGCUAGCGAGGGCACAGCACUGAAGACCCCAUGAGGCUGGCAGUCAUUGUCGAAGCAGGAACACGCCUGCCUCUGAGGAAUCUUCUAGAAGAUGGGCUGAAGUAAUCUGUGAGACCUCAGUCAUCAUGUCAGCGCCAAGGAACAGUGAGGUCGGGUGACAAGCAUUUGACAACUGAAAGGUCUGAUGCGGUUUCUAAUUGCCCCUCCCAAUUUUACCUCAUUCACUCUGUAGACCAGGCUAGCCUAAGAACUCAGAGACCUGCCUGCCUCUGCCUCCCGAGUGCAGGGAUUAAAGAUGUGAGCCACUUGAUUGGCCAUAUUUUGGUUUUUGAGACAGGGUCUCAUUCUGUUGCCCAGGUGGCCCCGCCCAUUUCUGAAGGGGGGGGGGCGGUGUCAGGCCGGAAGCCCCAGGCAAGCUGUAGCUCCACAGCUAAGGAAAGCACUGGAAGGCCAGUCAGUACAAAAGAGCUCUGACGCUAACCAUUCUCAUGCUAAUUGUGUUACGCAAAAACCUGUGGGCAGAGUCGGGGCCUAGGCUAAAGAAGCCCUCCCCCGGGCUGGAGAGAUGGCUCAGCGGUUAAGAGCGCCCGACUGCUCUUCCAGAGGUCAUGAGUUCAAUUCCCAGCAACCACAUGGUGGCUCACAACCAUCUGUAAAGAGAUCUGAUGCCCUCUUCUGGUGUAUCUGAAGACAGCUACAGUGUACUUAUAUAUAAUAAAUAAAUAAAUCUUUAAAAAAAAAAAAAAAAGAA